rnacentral:sRNA from 1 species
GCCACAAAACACAUACUUUUAUUUAAAGCAGUGUUUUUGUUUCUAUUCUAGGCCCUGUAUUAGAAACCGCCCAGCAACAUUUUUUGCAAGAAGCAAAAUCUCUUAUUGCCCAGCAUCCCAAGAAAGUAAAUGAGAUGGUGCUCUAUAACAAUUGGAACUCAAUGGAGAAUGCUAAGAGGCUGACUUUCUAAUGAAGGAAUGAACAAGGGCUACCCUCAGAAGAUGGUCACACAAAGGACUGUGUCUCUGGUUUUUCUUCUAGCUUUGGUUCGUUGUUUUUUUGUUUUUUUUUCAGUUCUUGUUACAGGACUUACUGCCCCCCCCCUUACUUUGUGUUACUGAGAAGACAGGAUCACAGACCUCCCUGACAUAUGCCUGGGUCAUCAGCCUGCGUCUCUGUACUCCUCCUCCUUUUACACUGUAUCUUGAAACAGAUCCAUGCAGAACAGAGGGGGUAUAUAAACAUGUAUUUGGCUCCUGUUUAUAAAAAUUCCUACUUAAAGGCCACCAUGCAAGAACUAGCAACUUGUAGGCACUGGUGAUUUGCCUAUUGGAGCAGGUUACAUAUCUUUUGGAGACUUUGGAAAAGAAUUGACCAUAAACUGGUUGCUAAGGUAAUUCAUCUCUCUGCUCUCCAUGGAUGCUUCCAAAAUGAUUCUACCUCAGCAUGUGUUUUCUGGCAUUACUUCUGAAACUGGGAAACCUGAAGCCAAGGACCUGUUAGUGCCUGAAAUCUGAGAUGCAAGAGAUUCAUGAUACCUCGUCUGAGCUGGCACUGCUGUGAAGCAGCCUCAGAACCAGGGUAAUAUGCCCGCUGUAAAGUCCUUCUGGUUUUGAUCCCAGUACACUUAAUGAGUCAGAACGAUUCUUGGACAAUCUACUUUUUAAAAACUGUUUCAGAAAGCUAAUUAAUGCUCUGGCUUUAUUUAGUGAUGAUGGGUCAGGAAAAAAACAUUUUAUGUAGUCACUCUGGAAGAUAUAAUAUAGUGUUAUUUCCACACAUUUGGUAGGUUCUCAUGAGUGCUUCUAAUGUGACUGAGUUAAUGGAAGAUUCUACCAAUUUCUUUGUGCUUUCCAGCCAUACUGUACCACUAUGUAUUUAAGCACUGUCCAAAGAGAGACUAAAAUAUUUGGUUAAUAGUCCCACAUGUGGAUGACCAUUUACUUUUGUAUUUUUCUAUGAACAUCCAAAAGUAUAUUGAUCACAUGGAAAAAUCACUCUGUAUGUGUUUUGUAAAACAGAAAAAAAACUUCCACUUUUUAUUUAGAAGUCAAUUAAUAAAGACUGAGGCAGAAUUGGUUCAAAAUUGGUAUUAUCUAGUUCUAUAUAAAGCCAUGCAUCAUGAUAAGCUUUACUUCUCAACUUGAACCACAGAGAGAUCCAUGGAUGGAGAUAUAAUGGCCUUUUGGUAUGUCUGUUGUGGUAUUUUCUUGAUUGCUAGUUGACAUAGGUGGGUCCAUCCAUGAUAGUUAGGACAAUCACUGGACAGGGAACCUGUCCCAUAUAAGAAGGCAAUUCAGCAGUGAGCAGAGCAAGCUCCUUCUUUUGUCUCUGUCUUGGUUUGUCCGGAGGAUGGAUUCCAACUAUGAGCUGAUAUGAACCUUUGUUCCUAAGUUAUUUGGUUAUGGUAUUUUUUGCUUCAACAGAAAUGAAACCAGGACACCAUGUGCUAUCCAAACCUUGCAUAAUAUGCACAAUACUAGUCGUGCUUUGUAGAUAAGAAAACUCCGGCUCAGACCUGCUCAACUCUCACCGAUGGUAAAACACAGAACCAAGAUUUGAGGUCUUCCUGUUUCUGAAGCAUUCUGUGCUCCACCCUUGUCAAUGGGACUGAGUAAUUCAGAGUGCUUGGCUGAGGGUUUAACAAGAACUUUUGGAGUGAGAAAGUGACAAGUAAUUCUUUUCCUAAAUUCUUAGGUGAUAUUGAGAACUUGCUUUUAUUCUACCUGAGUUUGCCCCAGAAAAAUGAUCUAGUGAUUUCAGCUUGGAGUCUAUUUUAAUUUUUAUGAAGAACAUAAGCUUUCAGAAGAGAUGUGGUAUUGAAAGUGCCUGAUGUCAUUCUUGGGUACCAUGAAAACUAUGUGUGAAGGCAGCUGUGUGCUAUAGCACUUGGACUUUCCUGGUUCUAUCAAAGAUGUUCCCAAGUGGAAGAGUCAUUUCCUGUAGUUCCUCACAGAGGUGGCUUGUGGUAAGAAGAGAAUGUGACAGGGAGUGUGGAAGGCUGGGACGGUGCAUGGACUAGGGAGAUGCACAAGCUGAUAGAGUGUUGGACUCUACUGCUGCUCCCACUCAAGCCACAAAAAUAGAUACAUUUCUGAAAUUUUACCAGAAAAGACAUAAAGAUGCCUGCCUCUGUGUGGGAAAUUGUGCGUUAUGGCUCUAUAGAUUGGAGAGCUCAAGAAGUCCCAGGAAACUAAUCUGCUUUGCUAGUAAAAGAGAAACAAGAGCUGAUGUUUACAACUGUUUUACAGGGUAGAGUAUUAGCUUUGGGAUGAACUCUGACAGACAAUUUGCUUUUCUCCUUUUUUGUGAAAAUGAUGACUUUCCUACCUGUUACCCGAGAGUCGUCUAUCAAUACUACAUUUCUUCAUGGGAGCACAAACUGUUCCCUUGAAUGGAAGGAGCAGCAGGAUGUGGUACAGAGUGCCUUUUUGUGAAGGAGAUGGGGUGCAGUUACCUCCCUAAGCAAACAAUGAGGACCUGCCCUGAUGGCCAUAAAGUUCAUUUUGGUCCUGGUCAGGGUCUUAGUGUAACUGCUCUAAGUUUUCAGAACUUAGGAAAAAUACUCUAUAUUUGAAGUUCUAGCACUCACUGCUAUGUCUUGAGUUUAUAUUGCCUGAUUUUUUUUUUUACUUUCAAAUGGAUCUUUUGCUUUGUACAACAAAAGAGGGAGGGCAGUGGUCAGAACUCAGGUUUAUUCAGAUCUAAUAUUGAUCAGUCAUCUAUUGUUGACUUAUGUAUUUGUAAAAAUAACUGUAUUGAUAGUUUUAUGGUAUUUACAAUAAAAUCAA